AACCUGGUUGAUCCUGCCAGUAGUCAUAUGCUUGUCUUAAAGAUUAAGCCAUGCAUGUCUAAGUAUAAGCAUUUAUACCGCGAGACUGCGAACGGCUCAUUAAAACAGUUAUGGUUUAUUUGAUGGUUCCUUUGCUACUUGGAUAACCGUAGUAAUUCUAGAGCUAAUACAUGCACGAAGGGGCGACUUACGAAGCCCUGUAUUUAUUAGAUUAAAGCCAACCACCUCCGGGUGUUCGUGGUGAAUCAUAGUAACUUCUCGGAUCGCCGGCCCUGCGCCAGCGACGUGUCAUUCAAAUUUCUGCCCUAUCAGCUUUAGAUGGUAGGAUAUGGGCCUACCAUGGCGGUGACGGGUAACGGAGAAUUAGGGUUCGAUUCCGGAGAGGGAGCCUGAGAAACGGCUACCACUUCUAAGGAAGGCAGCAGGCGCGCAAAUUACCCAAUCCUGACUCAGGGAGGUAGUGACAAGAAAUAACAAUAAACCGGCUUAUGCCGGUUUAAUUGGAAUGAGUACAAUUUAAACAUCUUAACGAGGAACAAUUGGAGGGCAAGUCUGGUGCCAGCAGCCGCGGUAAUUCCAGCUCCAAUAGC
rnacentral:rRNA from 1 species